GUUAAAGUUGGGUUCUUAUGGCAGAAAUGUUGAGAAAAUUUAGUACACCAUGUACUGUGACAAUCCAAAGGGGAAGAUGACUAUGGUGAUUCCAAAUUUAGGCGACAUAGGAACCCCAUUUUUGCUGAUAUUUUAUGGGGUUAGCUUUUCACGUAGCUUCUCUGUCUCUCUGUCUUAAAAAAAAAAAAAACAGCUUUCUUGAGAUAUGAUUCAUAUACCAUACAAUUCACUCAAAUUUAAAAUGUACAGUUUAAUUAUAAUUAGUAUGUUCAGAGGUAUGUGCAAUUUGUUAUGUGUUUGUGUGUGUAUAUAUACAUGUUGACAUAAUCUGAACGCAUCCCCCAGAUCCAUAUGUAAACUAAACAGCCACUGCGAUAGGUGGUAUUCAAAGUUGGAGUCCUUGGGAGGUGAUUAGGUCAUGAGGGCAAAGAUGUCAUGAAUGGGAUUAGGACUUUUCUAAAAGGGUUUGAGGGAGUGGAUCCACUCUCUUCUGUUUUUCUACUAUGUGAGGACUUGGUGUGUGUGUCCUCUCUGGAGGAUGCAGCACAAGACACCUCUUGGAAGCAGAGCACAGCACUCAGAGGAUACAGAACCUGUUGGCACCUUGAUCUCGGACUUCCCAGCCUCCAGAACCGUGAGCAGUACAUUUCUACUAUUUAUAAAUUUAACAGACUGUGAUAUUUUAUUAUAGCAGCACAAACAGACUUAAGAAAUUUGUGUCUAAAAUGGGUUGUUACUAUAACUAAUACCUAAAAAUUGGGAAGUAGAUGCUGGGAUUAUUUAGAAGUGUGUGCUAAAAACAAAACAAAACAAAACACCAGAUUCUGUGAAUAGUCUGAUGGGCGAUUCUGAUAAGGGCUCAGAAGAAGAGAAGCUGUAUAGAGAGCACAAGUCUUAGAAAUUAUCAAAGUGGUUGUAAUCAGAAUGCUUGUAGAAAUACAGCGAGUAAAAGACAUUCUGAUGAAGUCUAAGAAAUGAGGAGUAUUUUUUAGAAACUGGAAGAAGGAUCAUUCUUACUAGAAAGUGGCAAGGAACUGGGCUGAAUUGUGCUCUUGUCCUAGGGCUUUGUGGAUCACGGAGUGAAAGAGCAGUGAACUCUUUGAUUCAGAUAACCUGAAGAGCAGGAUAUUUGGCAGAAG
rnacentral:lncRNA from 1 species